CCUUCUGUAUAUAUAUUUUAUUGUCACAGCCCGGCUCUCAGACUGCAACAAAACCAGGAGACGAGCGAGCAAGCUAAGAGGAAACAAUCAAACAAUGUACCGGGAACAGACAACCAAAACCACAGGGAACCCUGGGAUAUGGGAGGAGGAGGGUCGUCAUAUAUAUAUAUAUAUAUAUAUAUAAUUAGUAUGUGUGUGUGUAUGUGUAUAUAUAUAUUAUAUAUAAAAGCUCAAUAACAACACUCCAGUAACACGUUCAGACCACCUUUCCUCCUCCCGGCUCCUCUAGCCAACAUUAUUGAACGUUAAAUCUCGUAGCGCUGCCGUUGCUCGGCAGUAAUCUGCUGUGUCGGCGGAGCGGAGGUCUCUGGGGACGGCAGGAAGACAAUAACUCUGUAUUAAGGUUCAUAAAAUGGAACUGAUUUUACUUUCAUGUGGGAUAAAAGUGCUCUGCUGGCUCCUGCUGUUUUCAAAACAACCCAAAACAUUUGUGCUGGAGGUGGGCUGCGUGUUCAGUCGGAUAUGAAACACGGAGGUGAGAUCCAAUCGGAAGCGAUCAACUCCAGACACACUUGGAGCCGAACGUAGAUGACAGGUCUCCCAGUCUGCGCUCCCCCCCCCAGCCUAAUCAGGGACGGGCUCGUCGAUGCAGGUUCAUCAGCAGACACAUGGCAUUUUUCCAGCAAAUGCUCUGCUGAGAUUGUACUGCAGCCCUUUAGUUCUCGUGUGAGGCUUUUUGUCUCGCUGCUUGGUUGUAUUGAGGUCAUUUGACUGACUAAGACAGCCUUGCUUUAAUUAACUCUGCAGCUGUUCUUUUAAUUGGACAAAUAUACACACUGAUCAUCUCUUUUAAAAGGGAACGUCUGUAUGCUCCCCUACUGGUCAUUGCUUGAUUGCAGUGUUGGUCUCCAAAGCCAAACCAAAUACGGAAAUGUCUCAACUUUGAAAGGAAGUUUAGAGGCGUGUUCCCCGUGAAAAACCUUUCAUCUUCAGCCGUAAAUAUCUGAUAAGUGUCUGAUAUUUGUUAUUUAUGUUGUUGCCUGUGAAUAUUGAUUCUGAACUUUAAAAUCACAUAGUUUUGCUUUUUAACCCCAACAGGCCUUUGGUGUCUGCAGGGAAUCCCCAAAUCUGUAUUGUUUCACGUAUCAAUGCUCAUUUUGCUACUUGAAACAAAGAAAAAGAGACCAAUGAAAAUGUUCGUUAGUUCGGCAUUUGAACCUAAACCUGACAAUCCAUUCGUAGCAUUUGCGACAUUUCACUGCAAACCACGAACGUCAACUCGCUGGUUGACAUCUUCAUCCUGAGAGCCAGGCUGAUAAAAUGGCUCAACCUUCUCCGCAUGGGAAGACUCGCAUGCAGGUGGGGGGCCGCUACCACGUUUUCCCACCCAUUCCUUUCCUGCCGGUGCAGGCUGACAAAGUCAAAUGCAGAUUGCAAUUCCAAAUUAAAACAGGGGAAAUAUGUGUGCCCAAUAAUAGGGAGAAGAAGCUCCACCUCCAGUUAGAUGUGCUCCCAGUUCACUGAGCCAUAUUUCUGGUGAUACAAAUGCAUAUGUUUCUGUUCAAAGUCUGAGUGAUGAAGUCAUUCUAUUCUCAGCGACGGGACGGGUUUUGAGAGGCGCUGGACUUGUUUAAGUAAAAAGCAAAAUAAACUGCAGACUCCCACGAGGAAUAAUUUGCAUGCAUCUCAUAACUCGCUGUCUUUUCAUCUUUUGAUUUCUUGUUUUAUGGGAC